GGACAACAGUUGGAAACGACUGCUAAUACCGCAUAAGCCCACGGCUCGGCAUCGAGCAGAGGGAAAAGGAGCAAUCCGCUUUGAGAUGGCCUCGCGUCCGAUUAGCUAGUUGGUGAGGUAAUGGCCCACCAAGGCGACGAUCGGUAGCCGGACUGAGAGGUUGAACGGCCACAUUGGGACUGAGACACGGCCCAGACUCCUACGGGAGGCAGCAGUGGGGAAUAUUGCACAAUGGGGGAAACCCUGAUGCAGCGACGCCGCGUGGAGGAAGAAGGUCUUCGGAUUGUAAACUCCUGUUGUUGAGGAAGAUAAUGACGGUACUCAACAAGGAAGUGACGGCUAACUACGUGCCAGCAGCCGCGGUAAAACGUAGGUCACAAGCGUUGUCCGGAAUUACUGGGUGUAAAGGGAGCGCAGGCGGGAGAACAAGUUGGAAGUGAAAUCCAUGGGCUCAACCCAUGAACUGCUUUCAAAACUGUUUUUCUUGAGUAGUGCAGAGGUAGGCGGAAUUCCCGGUGUAGCGGUGGAAUGCGUAGAUAUCGGGAGGAACACCAGUGGCGAAGGCGGCCUACUGGGCACCAACUGACGCUGAGGCUCGAAAGUGUGGGUAGCAAACAGGAUUAGAUACCCUGGUAGUCCACACCGUAAACGAUGAUUACUAGGUGUUGGAGGAUUGACCCCUUCAGUGCCGCAG
rnacentral:rRNA from 1 species